rnacentral:rRNA from 1 species
ACGAACGCUGGCGGCGCGCCUAACACAUGCAAGUCGAACGGAGCUUAGAGAGCUUGCUUUUUAAGCUUAGUGGCGAACGGGUGAGUAACGCGUGAGUAACCUGCCCUAGAGUGGGGGACAACAGUUGGAAACGACUGCUAAUACCGCAUAAGCCCACGGUGCCGCAUGACACUGAGGGAAAAGGAUUUAUUCGCUUUAGGAUGGACUCGCGUCCAAUUAGCUAGUUGGUGAGGUAACGGCCCACCAAGGCGACGAUUGGUAGCCGGACUGAGAGGUUGAACGGCCACAUUGGGACUGAGACACGGCCCAGACUCCUACGGGAGGCAGCAGUGGGGGAUAUUGCACAAUGGGGGAAACCCUGAUGCAGCGACGCCGCGUGGAGGAAGAAGGUUUUCGGAUUGUAAACUCCUGUCGUUAGGGACGAUAAUGACGGUACCUAACAAGAAAGCACCGGCUAACUACGUGCCAGCAGCCGCGGUAAAACGUAGGGUGCAAGCGUUGUCCGGAAUUACUGGGUGUAAAGGGAGCGCAGGCGGGAAGACAAGUUGGAAGUGAAAACCAUGGGCUCAACCCAUGAAUUGCUUUCAAAACUGUUUUUCUUGAGUAGUGCAGAGGUAGAUGGAAUUCCCGGUGUAGCGGUGGAAUGCGUAGAUAUCGGGAGGAACACCAGUGGCGAAGGCGGUCUACUGGGCACCAACUGACGCUGAGGCUCGAAAGCAUGGGUAGCAAACAGGAUUAGAUACCCUGGUAGUCCAUGCCGUAAACGAUGAUUACUAGGUGUUGGGGGAUUGACCCCCUCAGUGCCGCAGUUAACACAAUAAGUAAUCCACCUGGGGAGUACGACCGCAAGGUUGAAACUCAAAGGAAUUGACGGGGGCCCGCACAAGCAGUGGAGUAUGUGGUUUAAUUCGAAGCAACGCGAAGAACCUUACCAGGUCUUGACAUCCGAUGCAUAGCACAGAGAUGUGUGAAAUCCUUCGGGACAUCGAGACAGGUGGUGCAUGGUUGUCGUCAGCUCGUGUCGUGAGAUGUUGGGUUAAGUCCCGCAACGAGCGCAACCCUUAUUGCCAGUUACUACGUUAAGAGGACUCUGGCGAGACUGCCGUUGACAAAACGGAGGAAGGUGGGGAUGACGUCAAAUCAUCAUGCCCCUUAUGAGCAGGGCUACACACGUGCUACAAUGGCGUAAACAAAGGGAGGCAAAGCCGCGAGGUGGAGCAAAUCCCAAAAAUAACGUCUCAGUUCGGACUGCAGUCUGCAACUCGACUGCACGAAGCUGGAAUCGCUAGUAAUCGCGAAUCAGAAUGUCGCGGUGAAUACGUUCCCGGGUCUUGUACACACCGCCCGUCACACCAUGGGAGUCAGUAACGCCCGAAGUCAGUGACCCAACCGUAAGGAGGGAGCUGCCGAAGGCGGGACCGAUAACUGGGGUG